GCCGCAGUGGCUCAGUGGCAGAGCGCACCCUUGGUAAGGGUGAGGUCGAGAGUUCGAUUCUCUCCUGCGGCACCA
rnacentral:tRNA from 1 species